rnacentral:rRNA from 1 species
GGAAGUUGACGGGGAGCACCACGAACGGGUGGAGCUUGCGGUUUAUUGGAUUCAACGCCGGAAUCUUACCGGGACCGACAGCAAUAUGAAGGCCAGGCUGAAGACUUUGCCGGAUUAGCUGAGAGGUGGUGCAUGGCCGUCGUCAGUUCGUACUGUGAAGCAUCCUGUUAAGUCAGGCAACGAGCGAGACCCACGCCCACAGUUGCCAGCGUACUCUCCGGAGUGACGGGUACACUGUGGGGACCGCCGCUGCUAAAGCGGAGGAAGGAAUGGGCAACGGUAGGUCAGUAUGCCCCGAAUAUCCCGGGCUACACGCGAGCUACAAUGGUUGGUACAAUGGGUAUCUACCCCGAAAGGGGACGGGAAUCUCCUAAAACCAAUCUUAGUUCGGAUUGAGGGCUGCAACUCGCCCUCAUGAAGCUGGAAUCCGUAGUAAUCGCGUUUCAACAGAACGCGGUGAAUACGUCCCUGCUCCUU